AUUGAACGCUGGCGGCAUGCUUUACACAUGCCAGUCGAACGGUAACAGGCCGCAAGGUGCUGACGAGUGGCGAACGGGUGAGUAAUGCAUCGGAACGUGCCCAGUCGUGGGGGAUAACUACUCGAAAGAGUAGCUAAUACCGCAUACGAUCUAUGGAUGAAAGCGGGGGACCGUAAGGCCUCGCGCGAUUGGAGCGGCCGAUGUCAGAUUAGGUAGUUGGUGGGGUAAAGGCUCACCAAGCCAACGAUCUGUAGCUGGUCUGAGAGGACGACCAGCCACACUGGGACUGGGACACGGCCAAGACUCCUACGGGAGGCAGCAGUGGGGAAUUUUGGACAAUGGGCGCAAGCCUGAUCCAGCAAUGCCGCGUGCAGGAAGAAGGCCUUCGGGUUGUAAACUGCUUUUGUACGGAACGAAACGGCUCUGGUUAAUACCCGGGGCUAAUGACGGUACCGUAAGAAUAAGCACCGGCUAACUACGUG
rnacentral:rRNA from 1 species